AAAUAUCUCCUUUGAGAUUAUUUGCACUUUAGGUCCUUCCUCAUUUGACAAUUGAGCUAUUUAAUCCUUUUAGCAACUUUUACACGUUUUUCAAUGAGGUCCCAACUAAUUCAUUCACUUUACUAACUUAAUUCAUACUCUAUUUCUAUUCAAGUUCCAUCCCAACUCAAAUUUAACUACUAAAUUUUUAACUUAUUUAACUAGUUUCAAAAUUUCCUCAAAUU
rnacentral:lncRNA from 1 species